rnacentral:lncRNA from 1 species
GGGAACGGAACGAUCACAACUGCUGUAGAAUGUUGGUGGGCAGGGCUGGUGCCUGGUACCACUAUGAGGCACAGUGACUACUGUUGUGGUGAGCUGAUGGGAAGGGCUGGCACCCAGUCCACAUGUGAUGCUUGGAUGUGACUGCUGCAGUGUGUUGAAUCCACUAGGAAAUCGCUCCUGCUGAAGGCUUUCUGAGUUUGUCUACAGACUGCUGAUUUAAAAAAGAAAAACCCAAAACAAACAAAAUAAAAACCAUUCUUCAAACACAUGACCAG